rnacentral:snRNA from 1 species
AUACUUACCUGGCAGGGGAGAUACCAUGAUCACGAAGGUGGUUUUCCCAGGGCGAGGCUUAUCCAUUGCACUCCGGAUGUGCUGACCCCUGCGAUUUCCCCAAACGUGGGAAACUCGACUGCAUAAAAA